rnacentral:rRNA from 1 species
UACAGGGGUGCAAACGUUGCUCGGAAUCAUUGGGCGUAAAGCGCACGUAGGCGGUUCGUUAUGUCGGAUGUGAAAGCCCUUGGCUUAACCGAGGAAGUGCAUCCGAACUGGCGAGCUAGAGUACUAAGAGGAUCGCGAUCGUGUAGAGUGAAUCGUAGAUAUCGAGACACGUGCGAGCGCGAUCUGGGGGGUAGAUACUGACGCUGAGUGCGAAAAAGCGUGGGGGAGCAAAAA